UACGGGGGGGGCAAGCGUUGUUCGGAAUUACUGGGCGUAAAGGGCUCGUAGGCGGCCAACUAAGUCAGACGUGAAAUCCCUAGGCUCAACCUAGGAACUGCGUCUGAUACUGGAUGGCUUGAAUCCGGGAGAGGGAUGCAGAAUUCCAGGUGUAGCGGUGAAAUGCGUAGAUAUCUGGAGGAAUACCGGUGGCGAAGGCGGCAUCCUGGACCGGCAUUGACGCUGAUGAGCGAAAGCCAGGGGAGCAAACGGG
rnacentral:rRNA from 1 species